UUUAAAUUGAGAGUUUGAUCCUGGCUCAGGACGAACGCUGGCGGCGUGCUUAACACAUGCAAGUCGAGCGAAGUUAUUCCUUCGGGGAU
rnacentral:rRNA from 1 species